rnacentral:misc_RNA from 1 species
UCAAAUUUUACCCUCUUCCUGUCAACCGAUUAAUCUGAAAUUUUGUAUACACUUUGGAUUUUGGUGACAAUACAAUUAUGUUUAUUCAUUAUCAUUAUAAAUUCAAGAUGGCCGCCGCUACAAAAUGGCGGAUAAUUUAUGUUUUAUCAAUCCCAUCAACAUGGGUAUCAAAUGAAAGGUCUCAACAAGUAGAAUACAAUUUACUAUGCAAA